CUGAGUGCUGCUAUAACGAGUAUCUAAACAACAAGACUAAAGAAUGUUCUGAAUGUCCAGCUGGAUCUAUUGGUUCAAACUGUAAGUUGACAUGUCCGCCUGGAUAUUACGGACGGUUGUGUCUGUCUGUCUGUGAGUGUCCUGACGCCGACUGUAAUCAUGUUGCUGGAUGUACUACUACAGGUAACACAGUUAUUCAGACAAAUAACGAUUUUGAAAACUUUGAGAUGAAGAAAAGAAAAUUAAACAAAAUUUCAACUCUUUU